AGCUCCAGUAGCGUAUAUUAAAGUUGUUGCAGUUAAAAAGCUCGUAGUUGGAUUUCUGGCUUUAUAGAACUGACCCGCCACGUUAGUGUGUGAGUGUCGGCUUCUAUAUGCCAUCCUUCCACAGAACGUUUCUACUCUUGAUUGAGCCGGAUUCGCAAUGUGGAACUUUUACUUUGAAAAAAUUAGAGUGUUCAAAGCAGGCUUACGCUAUGAAUACAUUAGCAUGGAAUAAUAAUUUAGGACUUUGGUUCUAUUUUGUUGGUUUCUAGAACUGGAGUAAUGAUUGAUAGGGAUAGUUGGGGGUGCUAGUAUUCAGCGGCCAGAGGUGAAAUUCUUGGAUUCGCUGAAGACUAACUUAUGCGAAAGCAUUCACCAAGGAUGUCUUCUUUAAUCAAGAACG
rnacentral:rRNA from 1 species